UUAUAAGAUUAAAUUACCUUAGGGAUAACAGCGUAAUUUUUUUUUAGAGUUCUAAUCGAAAAAAAAGUUUGCGACCUCGAUGUUGGAUUAAAGUUAAUUUUUGGUGUAGAAGCUAAAAUAUUAAGUCUGUUCGACUUUUAAAACUUUACAUGAUCUGAGU
rnacentral:rRNA from 1 species